GUAUAUACAUAGUAGUUUAAAUAGAGUGCUGUGCUGUUUGAAUGUAUAAACUGAACGCGAAGAGAAAUCACUAGUUAGAUUUUUUUUUCCGUAAAUAAAAUAAAUAUGUCAGGCAGGAGCGUCUCAGGAUCUGUCUGAGAGCUGUCUCGGUGAGAUAGAUAACAGCAAUCCAAAGUGCUUUUUAUGUGUGAUCUGACACUUGAUCAACCAUUGCUUAAAGAUUAAAUAUAGCUUAGCCGGUUAAUUGCUGUGAUCAUAAAAAACUUAAGCAGCACGCAGAAAUCACGAGGCAACGUUUUACGUGAUGUUUACUUGUUGCUAUGAGUAAUAAGCCACGCCAAAAUAAGAUUAGGAAGCCCACUAAGAAUCAUAAUAAAAGCAUUUAAAAUAAAUACCAUACACAAUUGAGGAAACGUUGGUUUAAGUACCUGAUAUGAAGUGGUCGCUGCAUAAGUGAAAAAAAUAAAUGAAUAAAACCACCAAUCAGUAUUAUGUCACUGCUUGGUUUGGGGUAUUAUGUUCCUAAAAUGAGCCCUUUCUAAAAGCCCCCUUUUGUGAUGUCACAAACUGGGAAUUUUGCUAAGAACCACCUCUCACUUGGAGAAAAGUCGCUGCUGGAGGAGCUCGACUCUAAACCCUUCCAGAAUAUCAAAGCUUCUCAGCUUAUAGCAGCCUGGGCAGAGGGUAGGUGGGUGUGGCCAGCUCCAGCUUGUUUUCUUAAAGAGACAAAGCCCUGAAACAAAUAUUGUAAUAUGAGAAAAAAACUUAAUAAGAUGAGUUUGUGGAGAGAUUAGUGGUUUGAGAGUGGUUUUGUUUGAAAGUGGCUCCUUUCCUGCAUUCUUUUAUUCAGCGUUUGAGUAUAAAAUAGGUUUCAUAUGUUUUCUCACUGGUCCUAAGGGAAAAUGCAUCACGCUGGAAGAUGUUUACUAUUUUUUUUAUUUAAGUUCAUAAGUGAGCCAGAGAGCAAAAUCUCAUACUUCACAUGUUGGUGCAUCACACAAACACUGUGCAUGUUGGAGAGGCGCUCUCUCUUGUCACAGUUUGCAAUUUGGCUAAAAGGGAUGAGAGAAAACCAAACGCAGCAGGUUACAGCUGAGUGAGUGGGGAUACAGUCCAUUAAAGGCAGAGUUGUGUUAAUCUCCAACAGGAGCUCGUCAGAAGUGUAAAUGUGAUCUAAAGAGAGCAAACAAUGAAAGGGUGCGUUGUUUGUGAUUAAAUAGGCACAUAUUCUCUAAAUGCAUUUUUAUUACAAAAGAAAACAUCUGCAGCUCUCAUUUCAAGUUCACGUCUCUUUUUUAAUAAAUACAGAAAAUCAUCAUGAGUAAAAAUAAAGACAUGUGCAUGCUUCUCUCCAAUGCUUCUAAUAGUCUUUUAAAAAUAAAAAUAUUAAGAAGAAAUGAUUAGUUUUACAGUAGUGAGCUGGAUGUGUUGCCUUUCCUGCUGUGGUAAAUAAAGAAACAUAAUUGGAGUCUCUCAUAAGUGGAGACAAAUUUAUUGUUCGGCUGUUUAUGCACAGCAGGAUAUAUUUUAAUAAUUCAUUUAGAGCUGUAAUAACGUCCCUUUAAACAACACUAACGUACAGGUGAAUUUAUUUUUGUGCAGCCCUUUUGAUUAAGUGCAAUUCAAACCCAUGUUUGUGCUUUUAGAGGUAAAAAUUAUAUGUUUUACACAUGAGUACACAAGCAUGAUGUCGCUUUGAAAAGAAAAAUGUAUAAAAAAACAAAACAAAAUAACACCGUUAUUAAUGUUUAAACAUUUCUUAAACAAAUGCUGCCGCUGUAGAUGAUUGUGAUGAUAACUAGCACCCAUCCACUGCCAGUUUGAGCACCUUUUGUUGGUUUGGAGCAUGCUUGUGGGUUAAAGUUGUAUUACUAAGAUCUUCUGCUUAGCGAGCUGCCAGGAGCUAAAAUCAGGAUUUUUAGAACAGGAACAUAAGGGAUCUUCUCUUUGAGACUGGCCAGAUCGCCAUGGUAACAGAGGUUUAACUCCUGAUCUUCUCUAGGGCGGGUGACAAGUUCAAAAUUUGUUUAAUUGUCUGUAAAAAAAUAAUAAUAAAAGAGCAGCUUAUGUGUUUAUUUUUAAUAAUACUUGAGAAGAAAUUUCGAUUAGAGCAUGAUUUUUAUGCCAUUAUAUGGCUAAAUUUAAUUAUUUCAGUAAUCUAAUUCAACAGUAAUGCAAUGUUUAAUUUAACCCGUAACUACUGAACCUGGUAUAGGAUUCUAAUCUUGUUAGAUUUUUAUUUUUUACCCAAACAUCUUACAUGAAUUUCAGAAAAAUACUUGGACAUGCUCUAAAGCUCACACUCCGCUUUCCCCACUGACUGCAGACCCAAGUCGGUUGAUGGGGAUUAAUGGGCUGCAUAAUAUGUAAAACUGACAUUAGAUUAAAUGCAAUAGUUUUACAUUGCUUUUUGCGGAUGAUGUGGUCCUCCUAGCUUCAUCCAGCUCUGACCUUCAGCUCUUGCUGGGUAGGUUCGCGGCCGAGUGUGAAGCGGCUGGGAUGAGGAUCAGUACCUCCAAAUCUGAGACCAUGGUUCUCGACUGGAAAAGGGUGGCUUGCCAACUCCAGGUCGGAGGAGAGGUCCUACCUCAAGUGUAGGAGUUUAAGUAUCACGGGGUCUUGUUCACGAGUGAGGGUAGGAGGGAUCGGGAGAUCGACAGGCGGAUUGGUUCGGCGUCUGCAGUGAUGCGGACGCUGAGCCGAUCUGUCGUGGUGAAGAGGGAGCUAAGCCAGAAAGCCAGGCUCUUGAUUUACCGGUCGAUCUACGUCCCAAUCCUCACCUAUGGUCAUGAGCUUUGGGUAAUGACCGAAAGAACGAGAUCGCGGAUACAAGCGGCCGAAAUGAGUUUCCUCCGUAGGGUGGCCGGGCUCAGCCUUAGAGAUAGGGUGAGGAGCUCGGACAUUCGGGAGGGACUCGGAGUAGAACCGCUGCUCCUCCGGAUGAAAGGAGUCAGUUGAGGUGGUUUGGGCAUCUGGUCAGGAUGCCUCCUGGACGCCUCCCUGGGGAGGUGUUUCGGGCAUGUCCUGCCGGCAGGAGGCCCCCGGGUCGACCCAGGACACGUUGGAGAGGUUACAUCUCCAAUCUGGUCCGGGAACGCCUUGGGGUCCUGCCGGAGGAGCUGGUGGAGAAGGCCGGUGAGAGGACGGUCUGGAGCUCCCUAGUUGGGAUGCUGCCCCCGCGACCCGGACCCAGAUAAGUGGAGGAAAACGAAGAUGACGAGUUUUACAUUCAUCAGCAAAAAUAUAAUAUUCAAACUUUGAAGCAUGGAGGUGGAGGAGUGAUGAUUUGGGCUUCCUGUGGUUGUUUUUUUUUUUUUCAAAAUUAAUGAAACGAUUGCUGAGAAAUUGAAGUAUAUUUUUUAGAAAUGUAAUUGUUUCAUUAAUUGUUAUACCUUUUUGUGUUCUGAAGACACUGGGCACUAGUAUGUCUGUUACAGAAACUCAGGACAGAAUUGUUCUCAUCAAUGGAAGACACAGCUGGGUUAAUUUUAUGAUGCUCAUCCAAAAUAAAGUUCGAAUGUGGCUCCAUCAAGAGUUUAGCCCAGAGGCAGCUGAGGCAAAACAUCAAAUAUUUUAAUGAUAAAUGUUUUGUUUUUUUUACUUAAUGGGUUUCAAAGAGCAUCACAUUUUACAUGGAGCGAUUUACCCGCCUGCAUUUUCUCCUGAAAAACCACGAUGUCCGUGUCAAGCAUACACCUUCGUGUGUGUGUGUGUGUGUGUGUGUGUGUGUGAGAUGUGAAUUUGAAUCGGAUGAGCACAAAGACUUGCCUGCCGGGAAGAGGAUGAUGUGGACUCAUGGAAAGAUGGUUUUAGCCUACCAUUCCCUUUCAAGUUCGUUCUUGAAUCAUACACACACACACACGCACGCACUCACACGCACGCACGCACGCACGCACUCACUCACUCACUCACUCACUCACACACACACACACACACACACACACACACAGCUCUAGGUGACCAUGUCCUAAUCUGUAAAACAAAACCACAUGCAUUUGCAGCAAGAAGCUCAGUCCAAACUACUUUGGCGUCUGCCACAUCAAAAAAGUAUACUACUACUACUACUACUAAUAAUAAUAAUAAUAAUAAUAAUGAUAAUAAUAAUAAUGAUGAUGAUGAUGGUGAAAAAGUUUUAGCCUCCUUAUCAUUUUCUGAUCAGUCUAAUAUAAAAAUUCACAGAAAAAUAAAACCACAGAUGUGCAACAACUCUGUAGUUUCAUGAAAGAAUCUGGGUUGCAGCCUUUUGCCACAAGUUCACAAACCUGGAUAAACUGAAGACAACAACUUUCAUGAAUGCUAAUGGAAGGGAGUGGAGUAUGGAACGGUCUUUCGCUGAACCCAGCACAGCAACAUUCAUGCAUUUAGAGUUGCAGCUGAAACAACAACAACAACAACAACAAAAAUUAAAAAUUAAACAUUCUCCUAUCAUUUUCAUUCGAUUUUUAGGUGAUUUUUUUUUAAAAUGCUGUUUUGUGCAGAAGUCUAGCACAUUUCUGAAAGAUUAAACACUUGAAAUGUCAGUUGCAAAAAGCUUAAAUAUGACUUUUUUUCCCCCACUGUAUUCCUUCCUGGGGAGUUUUUAUUUAAGAAUUUUAAGUGCUGCAGGCCACCUGCAGAUUGUAAUUGAAAACAGAAUGAAACAGUAUUGAUGCCUUCAUGUGGACGAGACUUUUCCUUUGCUCAGCGUGUCGCCUCAGGUCCAAUAACAGAUGUCUCUUUGUUGUUGUGUUUGUCGGUGUGUGAGCACAAAAAGGUCCUGGUUCCUUGAAAGAAAAGUAGAAUGUUUGGUUUUUUUCUGCUCUUUCUUAUUCCUAUUUAUUCAACUCAGUAAUUUUAGAUGACAGUGGGUAAUAAAAAGUGCAUGACGCAAACAAAAUAAUAAAGAAAUAUAUUACAUUUCACUGUUUUCAUGCCGUUUAAAUUAUUGUACACAAACUAGGGAUGCACCAAUACGAUACUGGUAUCGGCACCGAUACCCAUACCAAUACCAGUAUCGGUAUCGGUAAAAGUUAACCAAUACCAGGAACCGAUACCAAUGCAGUUGCUUGAAAAUAGCUUCACUGUAGUUUGUCAUUUCUGUUCACCUAAUAUUUUAGUUUUGUGAUGAUUUCCAUUCAUAUAUUUUACUUUUUAUCUACCUCACAGUCUUUUCCUGUUGAAAACAGAGAAGAAAAUAAAAUCUGUAUUCCAAAUCAUUGCAUUAUUUGUGUGGUAGAAGUAUCGGUAUUGGUAAUCGGUAUCGGCGAGUACCCAGAUCCAAGUAUCGGUAUCGUAUCGGUUUGGAAAAAAUUGGUAUCGUUGCAUCCCUAACACAAACGCUCACCUUAUUCACCUUCAACCAGAUCGGCCGUGGAAGAUGUCCUAUUACUUUUUAAAGUUUUCCAUCCAUCCAUUUUAUUUAUUAAGCACAUUUCUACUCGGCCGAGGCCAACUAAAGUGCUACACAGUAAAAGAGCAUAAAAAUCAACACACGGGAAGAAAGUAAUGUAACGUGAGGAAAUAUGGGUUUUCUGUCACAAAGGUGGUGUUGGACUCAGCUGUGUCAAAGCUGGGUCGCUGAGAACUUUCACCCACAGAUUAAGACCUGAACGCCAGCGAGUCUGGGAGGAAACCAUAACAUCUGCCACCUGCGGUACCAGAAGAAGGAGUUCUCAUGGACAAGUAGUCAUAACAAGUCAAAACAUAAAGUUUAAACUUCCUUUUCUUGUUUUGAAUGUUAAAAGUUUAAUCAUCAAUUUGCUCAUUAUAAAUGUGAUUUAAUCAAAUGAAUGACUAUUAUGCUUUGGGGUAAUUAUAAGAGAUUUAAUGAAUCCAUAAUUAGAUAAUGUUGAGAGUGUUUGUUGCUGACCUUCACACACACUCAAGCACACACACCCACACACAGAUUCUCACAGUUAAACUCCAAAACACAUUUGCUGACGCACACGUUUGCUUUGAGAGGAGAAAGGUUUUUGGUAAGUUUCAGUCUUAUGAUUUCAGUUCGUGCUUGACAACGAAAGAGAGAGGACGUGUGAACAACCGCUGAAAGGGGGGAGCCGGUUGGCUCGUUCCAACCCUCCCACCCCCCUCUCACGCUUUUCCUGCCAAGCCAGGCAGAAUAGCUGAAUCGCGACUUCUAACGCAGACUCAUUACCGAGUCUUUUUAUUUCUGAGUGAAUUAACUUAAGAAAACGCAUCGACAAAACGCUCUACCAUCCACGUGUACCGAGGGCAACUCUGGACCGGUUCCGUUCGACACCUACGUCUCCUGUCAGCCGCCGGUGUCAUCUGGAUGAACCACAACAUCCUCCACGGCCCGGAUCCGAAAGAGGGUCCACAAGAGUUCGAAAAAGAGUCGUUAAAGUGUGGUCCCACACCUAGUCAUAACCCAUCAGUUUGGAUUACAAACCUGACCACAUGUUUCUGGGCUCUGGGCAGCAUGGUGAGUAAUCUAAUCUAACAUGUGGAUCAAUACUGUUUAUUCCAUACAAUUUCUCUGAAAUCCACAAGGGAAAGGUCUAUUUUCAUGGCCCCCUUGUCAUUCCAGUCUCUCUUCAUCCUUUUCCUUUUUCUUUAUUGGUGUUGAUCACUUUGACCUAUGAAACAAAACGCUAACCUUGCUCCCACAGAUCAAAGCAGACGGUAUUUUAGGCAUUACAACUUUGGAAGAAAUACAGUCUCACCAGAAUAUGGCUUUUGACAGAAUUUUUAUACGGUGAAAUUAUGUAUUUUGUUGUGUUUUUUUACUUAAAAUAUACCAGCAAAAAGUCUAAAAUCAACAACUGAGGUGACUUUCUGGUCACUUGAUCGAGUCGACACCUCACUAGUGUCCCAUGAUCAGCGAUGCAGUUUGAUUGGCUAAAAGCCACUCAAACUCAAUCGAGUGACGAUUACUUUGGGUGUUGAAUUUUCACAGCUGAAAUUUUUGCUGGUGUAUUUUAACUUAAAAAAAUUCUAAUACAUAAUUUCACUGAAUACAAAUUCAAUGUGUUGCCCUGUUAUGGACUGGCAACCUGUUCUGAAGAUGGGCACCAGCCCCCCGCGACCCUACGUGGAUAAGCCGGUAUAGAAAAUUGAUAGAUGGAUUAAAAUUCUGGUGAAUAUGUUUCCAAAACAGUAUGUUUUUAUGUAACUAAAAGUCUUAAAAACAACUAAUCCUGAGAAGUCGUUAAAUGUUUAAGAACUUGCUUUAAAUACAGCGUGCGUACUUCCUUAACUCU